rnacentral:siRNA from 1 species
CCUGCAUUUGUUGGAGAUGAAGG